UACGGAAGGUGCGAGCGUUGUUCGGAUUGAUUGGGCGUAAAGCGCAUGUAGGCGGGUUCGUAAGUCGGAUGUGAAAGCCCUGGGCUCAACCUGGGAACUGCAUCUGAAACUGCGAAUCUUGAAUGCUCGAGGGGUUGGUGGAAUUCCUGGUGUAGGAGUGAAAUCCGUAGAUAUCAGGAGGAACACCGGAGGCGAAGGCGGCCAACUGGCGAUGCAUUGACGCUGAGGUGCGAAAGCGUGGGGAGCAAACAGG
rnacentral:rRNA from 1 species